GAUGAACGCUGGCGGCGUGCCUAAUACAUGCAAGUCGAGCGAACGGACGAGAAGCUUGCUUCUCUGAUGUUAGCGGCGGACGGGUGAGUAACACGUGGAUAACCUACCUAUAAGACUGGGAUAACUUCGGGAAACCGGAGCUAAUACCGGAUGAUAUUUUGAACCGCAUGGUUCAAAAGUGAAAGACGGUCUUGCUGUCACUUAUAGAUGGAUCCGCGCUGCAUUAGCUAGUUGGUAAGGUAACGGCUUACCAAGGCAACGAUGCAUAGCCGACCUGAGAGGGUGAUCGGCCACACGGGAACUGAGACACGGUCCAGACUCCUGCGGGAGGCAGCAGUAGGGAAUCUUGCGCAAUGGGCGAAGACCUGACGGUGCAACGCCGAGUGAGUGAGGAAGGUCUUCGCAUCAUAAAACUCUGUUAUUAGGGAAGAACAUAGGUGUAAGUACCUGUGCACAUCUUGACGGUACCUAAUCAGAAAGCCACGGCUAACUACGUG
rnacentral:rRNA from 1 species